UUAAUCUGUGAUGCAUUGCACUUGGGAUAGUUACCUUGCAUAUUCUUAGUUUUACAGAUAAUGCUGGUCUAUGUGGAAUACCCGGAUUGCCAAAAUGUGGGACCCAUCUGUCUGUCGGAGGAAAAAUCGGCAUCGGGCUAGGAGCAUGUGCUGCACUCAUGCUCUUGCUCAUCUGCUCAACAUGUUGGUGGAAGAGACGGCAGAAUAUUCUCCGAACUCAAAGAAUUGCAGCAAGAGAGGCUCCUUAUGCAAAAGCAAGAACGCAGUCUCUCCGCGAUGUGCAGAUGAUCAGGAAUCAAAGCCUUGGUCAUACUAGGACUGCUUCCGAGAACGGACCACCCUUGCUAUCCUGAGCACUGCUUCAACAAAACUCCAGAUGCUUGUAUCUGUGGAACGCGAAAGGCUACCAAUCCUCGUAUUCUGCUUGCUGAUGCAGGUCGAUAAUUUCCUCUUAUUCCAUCCUGGGGUUUCCUUUGUCAAAAGCAUCUUGUUCUUUAGUCUCAUAUCACAAUCAUGUAGUAUUUCAGAAUCUUGUACAUUAUCCUCAUCACCUCCUGUGUAGUUUUAUCCAAAACUUAGCAACAUUUGGAUAGAUAUCAAUACUAAAAUGUGCAGUUACACA